rnacentral:rRNA from 1 species
UACGUAGGUGGCAAGCGUUGUCCGGAUUUACUGGGUGUAAAGGGCGUGUAGCCGGGCUGACAAGUCGGAUGUGAAAUCCGGGGGCUCAACCCCCGAACUGCAUUUGAAACUGUUGGUCUUGAGUAUCGGAGAGGCAGGCGGAAUUCCUAGUGUAGCGGUGAAAUGCGUAGAUAUUAGGAGGAACACCAGUGGCGAAGGCGGCCUGCUGGACGACAACUGACGGUGAGGCGCGAAAGCGUGGGGAGCAAACAGG